rnacentral:ncRNA from 2 species
GAAUAGUACUCGGGGAGCUAUGAGGUUGGCUGAGAGGAUGUCCCGUUGAAGACAUCGACCCUUUAACCUGAUCUGGGUAAUUCCAGCGGAGGGAUGUAUGAUUUAUUUGUA